GUGUGUGGUUGUAUCAUAUUUUUGUUGCUAGGAUCAAAGCAAGGAACCCAUUGAAUUUUAUAGCUCAUUGGGUAAAAUAGAGCAAAGCCUAACCAAAUAAUAUGCAACUUCUGCAAUAAAAUAGCAGUUCAACAUAGAGCAAAAGCCAUUUUUGCUUUCUAUUUGAGGCAUCAUCAUCCUAGUUGCCUUCAAAAGGGUCAGCUAUGGCACCUAAAAGGAGCAUGGGAGUUCCGCCACCACCGCCACCGUCCGUCCCUGCUGGAAGAUUGUUAAGUCGACAACAAUCAGUGGGUAAAUUGAAGAAAUCAAGCAUAAUGAGUAGUCUUUUUAGAGAAUUGAAAACAAAGUUGGAAGGGUCAAGAUUGCAAUUUAAGCUGUCUAGUAGGACCAAGAAGCAAUUUGGGGGUUCUGCUGGUGGGAAAGAAGGAUUGGCUGCUUUUUUACGAGAGCUAACAAAAAGGUUCCAUUUCUUACUUUCUUUAGUACCUAAAACGAUAAUAUAUAUAUAUAUAUGAAAGCACGAGUUAAAAAAUA